rnacentral:rRNA from 2 species
ACCUGACUGCUAUCGGAUUGAUACUAAGCCAUGCGAGUCAUUGUAGUAAUACAAGGCAGACGGCUCAGUAACGCGUAGUCAACCUAACCUAUGGACGGGAAUAACCUCGGGAAACUGAGUAUAAUGCCCGAUAGAACAUUAUGCCUGGAAUGGUUUAUGUUCCAAAUGAUUUAUCGCCGUAGGGUGGGACUGCGGCCUAUCAGUUUGUUGGUGAGGUAAUGGCCCACCAAGACUAUUACAGGUACGGGCUCUGAGAGGAGUGGCCCGGAGAUGGGUACUGAGACACGGACCCAGGCCCUAUGGGGCGCAGCAGGCGAGAAAACUUUGCAAUGUGCGAAAGCACGACAAGGUUAAUCCGAGUGGUUUCUGCUAAAGGAACCUUUUGUCGGUCCUAGAAACACCGAUGAAUAAGGGGUGGGCAAGUUCUGGUGUCAGCCGCCGCGGUAAAACCAGCACCUCAAGUGGUCAGGAUGAUUAUUGGGCCUAAAGCAUCCGUAGCCGGCUCUGUAAGUUUUCGGUUAAAUCUGUACGCUUAACGUACAGGCUGCCGGGAAUACUGCAAAGCUAGGGAGUGGGAGAGGUAGACGGUACUCGGUAGGAAGGGGUAAAAUCCUUUGAUCUAUUGAUGACCACCUGUGGCGAAGGCGGUCUACCAGAACACGUCCGACGGUGAGGGAUGAAAGCUGGGGGAGCAAACCGGAUUAGAUACCCGGGUAGUCCCAGCUGUAAACUAUGCAAACUCAGUGAUGCAUUGGCUUGUGGCCAAUGCAGUGCUGCAGGGAAGCCGUUAAGUUUGCCGCCUGGGAAGUACGUACGCAAGUAUGAAACUUAAAGGAAUUGGCGGGGGAGCACCACAAGGGGUGAAGCCUGCGGUUC